GAUCGAUUUGCAGCUUCAGCGGCCGGCCCUUUGAAAAACUCGAUGAUGUUCUUGCACGCCUCCUUGGGCUUCUCAAGAUUGACUGCGUGCCCAGCGUUUUUGGUGACAACCAAUCGAGAAUUCCCCUCUAGAUGCCUGUCAAUUGUGUCAGGGCACCCAAGGCGGCUACAAUGAUUCUAAGCCUUUCACUUGCUGACAAUGGCGCCUCACUGACUGUAUGAAGUGGUGAAAAAUUUGCACCGAGCUGAUUGCUGAUGGGUUCUGUAGUAGCCUGACAUGUAGAUUUCGCGAGAUUAUGGUGCUGUAAAAUAGUAGCUGAGAAUGUGCGUCUGCAGUCUGCACUCCAAAUACCCUAGCUGCUGUCUGAACACCUAUAAUGUAGCCAAGAAUGCCUGUAUUUUGUGUG